CGGGUGAGUAACGCGUGGGUAACCUGCCUUGUACUGGGGGACAACAGUUAGAAAUGACUGCUAAUACCGCAUAAGCGCACAGUAUCGCAUGAUACAGUGUGAAAAACUCCGGUGGUACAAGAUGGACCUGCGUCUGAUUAGCUAGUUGGUAAGGUAACGGCUUACCAAGGCGACGAUCAGUAGCCGACCUGAGAGGGUGACCGGCCACAUUGGGACUGAGACACGGCCCAA
rnacentral:rRNA from 1 species